GGCGCACGGGUGAGUAACACGUAUCCAACCUGCCGAUAACUCUGGAAUAGCCUUUCGAAAGAAAGAUUAAUACCGGAUAGUAUACGAAUAUCGCAUGAUAUUUUUAUUAAAGAAUUUCGGUUAUCGAUGGGGAUGCGUUCCAUUAGUUUGUUGGCGGGGUAACGGCCCACCAAGACUACGAUGGAUAGGGGUUCUGAGAGGAAGGUCCCCCACAUUGGAACUGAGACACGGUCCAAACUCCUACGGGAGGCAGCAUG
rnacentral:rRNA from 1 species